rnacentral:rRNA from 1 species
UACAGAGGUCUCAAGCGUUGUUCGGAAUUACUGGGCGUAAAGGGCGCGUAGGCGGCCUGCUAAGUCGGACGUGAAAUCCCUCGGCUCAACCGGGGAACUGCGUCCGAUACUGGUGGGCUCGAAUCCGGGAGAGGGAUGUGGAAUUCCAGGUGUAGCGGUGAAAUGCGUAGAUAUCUGGAGGAACACCGGUGGCGAAGGCGGCACCCUGGACCGGUAUUGACGCUGAUGCGCGAAAGCCAGGGGAGCAAACGGG